CAUAAGAAUAAACGUGAUCUGAAAGCUUUUAGGGACAUUCGUAAAUUGCUUUUAAGACAUUGACGUUCAAUAUUAUGCUAAAGCACCCAGAACCACCCUAGAAUCUAGCGAACUGGGAUCGCCUUUGGACAUGUCUGUUCUGCAACGUCUGUGAUGCAGCGAAGUUAUUUGUAUUGUUGUUUAAAACAGAAAGGGGGGGGAGGAAUUUCCUAAAAAAUGGAAUGCACAAAGACACUGUUCCCAUUCCAAGAUGAAUUCGUAUGACAAGGAUUUAGCUAGGGUGCUUUGUCCGCAUGAUUCCUCCUGGUAGAUUUUUGAUUCUUAAUUCUCCUUAAAUUAAUGGCUGUAUAGUUGCCAUAAGAUCUUCAGUGAAAGGAGAAGGGUCCAAAAAAUCAGCGGCAAACGAAACGCUUUUACCUAACACGAUCUCUCUCUUGUUGAUUCUACAGCACGACAGUAAGAAGAGAUCGGUUUUAGAGCGAUUAUUCUGUUUUUUUAAAAAAUGAUUAAAAUAAUCUACAGUUAAAGCACUCAAAGAAACAGGUUCCAUUCCACACGCAGUGGAGUGGAAGAAAGUGGAGUGGUUUCGAAGCCCCCACCUCCCAGGAUUUAUCACGUGGGUGUUUUAAAAAUUGGUUUAGCAAAAAGCGAUAGGAAGGCCUUGGUGGUGGUUCGCCGACUAGCUCCGCAUUGCAGAAGAUUUGCAGGAGAGAAUUCCUUUGAAGGGGGAGUAGAAGAGGAAAGUUAAAACACGGGGGCGCGCGCGCACACACCGGGAAGGAAAGCUGUAACAAAACUGAUAAUCGCAGAACCAGAGAUUCAUUACCGGAAGCGGCCUCUUAUCGAGUCAGAGCAUGCUUCACCGAGCUUAGUAUGGUCUACACUGACUGGCAGUGGCUUCUCCAAGGUUUUCAAGCUGGAGUGAUUUUCCAAGGCCUACCUAGAGAUGCCAGAGUGAGCCUGGGAUCUUCUGCAUGCAAAGCAGAUGCUCUACCCUUGCCUGCCUGCACCCCCGAAUGAACAUCGGAAGUUCGAAGCUGCCAUUUACUGAGUCAAGCCAUCUAGCUCAGUUUUGUUGCCUGCUCUGACGUGCAGCGCCGAGGAGCCCACCACAUAUUUUCCGACAUCAUAAUCGCUGCUCCAGACAAUACAAACAUCCCGGCCAGACAUUCCGUCGCACCCUUCCUCGAGUGGAAUUGAUCCAACGUGUUCAUUUGGGUAAUCCUCUCCCUACAAAUUCCCCAGCCCUUUAACUAACAUCAGAUUCUCUCUCUCCCCCACCCCCGCGCUCUUGUAGUGGUGAAUGAAAUGCAGCCCGGGCCUUCCAUCCGCGGGUGGCCUCUCCCGAUCGGACGCCAAGGAUUUGGGGUGGUUGCGCCUUCGCUCCAGGUUGCCGAGUCUUCCUUCCGGGCUCUGCUCUGUCUCCAACUCAGCGUUUCAACCUCAGUUUUGGAAGGUGGAGCAGUUGCAUCACUUGAGGAUUCUGGUCUUGUGCUGUAUCUACUCGAAUGAAAGCCAACUCUGCAUUUAAGAAUGCUGAGAUCAAUGGAGGCAAACCAACGCACUCAGUUUUACAUACACUUCAAGGGGAAAAAAGCAGUAAGUUUCCCCAAAGUUGCAGAUGGGAAGAUGGAGAGAAGAGACCUAGGAUGUCUGGAAGGAUGCAGGGCAGCGACUCUUUGAACUUUAAUCCCCCUUAUACUUCUGGCUGAUGUUGUUGCCUUGCCUUAGAAGAAGUUGAAUCAUCAUGUCAUACUUUUCAGUGAACAACACACACAACUUGGUGAAUGUCAGCCUGUGACAAUCUUUGAUAACUUUUGUGAAAAUAGGGACACAUUUCUCUGCU